UUCUGGUAUGUGGAUUUUCUGGACGAUUAGUCUCAUCAAUGAUUUGUUAUCCAGGUGGACAGUGGAAAGGUAGAUGGGGAACGACUUUGUAUUACUGGGGGCUCUGCUGGGGGGUAUACCACCUUAGCUGCUCUUGCUUUUAAAGAAACAUUUAAAGCUGGGGCUUCCUUGUAUGGUGUGGCCGAUCUGAAAAUGUUGAGCGCUGAGACUCAUAAAUUUGAAUCCCAUUACAUCGAUAAUCUUGUUGGAGGUGAAAAGCA